GAUGAACGCUGGCGGCGUGCUUAACACAUGCAAGUCGAACGAACCUUCGGGUUAGUGGCGGACGGGUGAGUAACGCGUGGGAAUCUGCCCUCAGGAGGGGGAUAACGGCCGGAAACGGCCGCUAAUACCCCAUAUGCCGAGAGGUGAAAUGAAUUUCGCCUGAGGAUGAGCCCGCGUCUGAUUAGCUAGUUGGUGUGGUAAUGGCGCACCAAGGCGACGAUCAGUAGCUGGUCUGAGAGGAUGAUCAGCCACACUGGGACUGAGACACGGCCCAGACUCCUACGGGAGGCAGCAGUGGGGAAUUUUCCGCAAUGGGCGAAAGCCUGACGGAGCAACGCCGCGUGAGGGAUGAAGGCCUCUGGGCUGUAAACCUCUUUUCUCAAGGAAGAAGACAUGACGGUACUUGAGGAAUAAGCCACGGCUAAUUCCGUGCCAGCAGCCGCGGUAAUACGGGAGUGGCAAGCGUUAUCCGGAAUUAUUGGGCGUAAAGCGUCCGCAGGCGGCCUUGUAAGUCUGUCGUUAAAGCGUGGAGCUUAACUCCAUUUCAGCGAUGGAAACUACAAGGCUUGAGUGUGGUAGGGGCAGAGGGAAUUCCCGGUGUAGCGGUGAAAUGCGUAGAUAUCGGGAAGAACACCAGUGGCGAAGGCGCUCUGCUGGGCCAUAACUGACGCUCAUGGACGAAAGCCAGGGGAGCGAAAGGGAUUAGAUACCCCUGUAGUCCUGGCCGUAAACGAUGAACACUAGGUGUCGGGGGAAUCGACCCCCUCGGUGUCGUAGCUAACGCGUUAAGUGUUCCGCCUGGGGAGUACGCACGCAAGUGUGAAACUCAAAGGAAUUGACGGGGGCCCGCACAAGCGGUGGAGUAUGUGGUUUAAUUCGAUGCAACGCGAAGAACCUUACCAGGGUUUGACAUCCUGCGAAUCCCUUGGAAACGAGGGAGUGCCUUCGGGAGCGCAGAGACAGGUGGUGCAUGGCUGUCGUCAGCUCGUGUCGUGAGAUGUUGGGUUAAGUCCCGCAACGAGCGCAACCCACGUCUUUAGUUGCCAGCAUUCAGUUGGGCACUCUAGAGAGACCGCCGGUGAUAAACCGGAGGAAGGUGUGGAUGACGUCAAGUCAUCAUGCCCCUUACAUCCUGGGCUACACACGUACUACAAUGCUACGGACAAAGGGUUGCAAGCUCGCGAGAGUUAGCUAAUCCCAUAAACCGUGGCUCAGUUCAGAUCGUAGGCUGCAACUCGCCUACGUGAAGGAGGAAUCGCUAGUAAUCGCAGGUCAGCAUACUGCGGUGAAUACGUUCCCGGGCCUUGUACACACCGCCCGUCACACCAUGGAAGUUGGCCAUGCCCGAAGUCGUUACUCCAACCCUUGUGGAGGAGGACACCGAAGGUGGGGCUGAUGACUGGGGUG
rnacentral:rRNA from 1 species